rnacentral:rRNA from 1 species
UACGGAGGAUCCGAGCGUUAUCCGGAUUUAUUGGGUUUAAAGGGUGCGUAGGCGGCCUAUUAAGUCAGGGGUGAAAGACGGUAGCUUAACUAUCGCAGUGCCUUUGAUACUGAUAGGCUUGAAUGUACUUGAGGUAGGCGGAAUGUGACAAGUAGCGGUGAAAUGCAUAGAUAUGUCACAGAACACCAAUUGCGAAGGCAGCUUACUAAAGUAUGAUUGACGCUGAGGCACGAAGGCGUGGGGAUCAAACAGG